GACGAACGCUGGCGGCGUGCUUAACACAUGCAAGUCGAACGGUAAGGCCCUUCGGGGUACACGAGUGGCGAACGGGUGAGUAACACGUGGGUGAUCUGCCCUGCACUUCGGGAUAAGCCUGGGAAACUGGGUCUAAUACCGGAUAGGACCACUGCCUGCAUGGGUGGUGGUGGAAAGCUUUUGCGGUGUGGGAUGGGCCCGCGGCCUAUCAGCUUGUUGGUGGGGUGAUGGCCUACCAAGGCGACGACGGGUAGCCGGCCUGAGAGGGUGACCGGCCACACUGGGACUGGGAUACGGCCCAGACUCCUACGGGAGGCAGCAGUGGGGAAUAUUGCACAAUGGGCGCAAGCCUGAUGCAGCGACGCCGCGUGAGGGAUGACGGCCUUCGGGUUGUAAACCUCUUUCAGCACCGACGAAGCGCAAGUGACGGUAGGUGCAGAAGAAGGACCGGCCAACUACGUGCCAGCCGCCGCCGUAAAAC
rnacentral:rRNA from 1 species